rfam:Clostridium baratii str. Sullivan, complete genome.
AUAUAUCUUCAGGGCGGGGCGUAAUUCCCCACCGGCGGUAAAGCCCGCGAGCUAAUUUUAGCAUGAUUCGGUGAAACUCCGAAGCCGACAGUAUAGUCUGGAUGAAAGAAGGUAAAA